rnacentral:rRNA from 1 species
GGCUAACUACGUGCCAGCAGCCGCGGUAAUACGUAGGGUGCAAGCGUUAUCCGGAAUUAUUGGGCGUAAAGGGCUCGUAGGCGGUUCGUCGCGUCCGGUGUGAAAGUCCAUCGCUUAACGGUGGAUCCGCGCCGGGUACGGGCGGGCUUGAGUGCGGUAGGGGAGACUGGAAUUCCCGGUGUAACGGUGGAAUGUGUAGAUAUCGGGAAGAACACCAAUGGCGAAGGCAGGUCUCUGGGCCGUCACUGACGCUGAGGAGCGAAAGCGUGGGGAGCGAACAGGAUUAGAUACCCUGGUAGUCCACGCCGUAAACGGUGGAUGCUGGAUGUGGGGACCAUUCCACGGUCUCCGUGUCGGAGCCAACGCGUUAAGCAUCCCGCCUGGGGAGUACGGCCGCAAGGCUAAAACUCAAAGAAAUUGACGGGGGCCCGCACAAGCGGCGGAGCAUGCGGAUUAAUUCGAUGCAACGCGAAGAACCUUACCUGGGCUUGACAUGUUCCCGACAGCCGUAGAGAUACGGUCUCCCUUCGGGGCGGGUUCACAGGUGGUGCAUGGUCGUCGUCAGCUCGUGUCGUGAGAUGUUGGGUUAAGUCCCGCAACGAGCGCAACCCUCGCCCUGUGUUGCCAGCACGUCGUGGUGGGAACUCACGGGGGACCGCCGGGGUCAACUCGGAGGAAGGUGGGGAUGACGUCAGAUCAUCAUGCCCCUUACGUCCAGGGCUUCACGCAUGCUACAAUGGCCGGUACAACGGGAUGCGACACCGCGAGGUGGAGCGGAUCCCUUAAAACCGGUCUCAGUUCGGAUUGGAGUCUGCAACCCGACUCCAUGAAGGCGGAGUCGCUAGUAAUCGCGGAUCAGCAACGCCGCGGUGAAUGCGUUCCCGGGCCUUGUACACACCGCCCGUCAAGUCAUGAAAGUGGGUAGCACCCGAAGCCGGUGGCCCAACCUUUUGGGGGGAGCCGUCUAAGGUGAGACUCGUGAUUGGGACUAAGUCGUAACAAGGUAGCCGUACCGGAAGGUGCGGCUG